UGCAAGUCGAGCGGACAGAUGGGAGCUUGCUCCCUGAUGUUAGCGGCGGACGGGUGAGUAACACGUGGGUAACCUGCCUGUAAGACUGGGAUAACUCCGGGAAACCGGGGCUAAUACCGGAUGCUUGUUUGAACCGCAUGGUUCAAACAUAAAAGGUGGCUUCGGCUACCACUUACAGAUGGACCCGCGGCGCAUUAGCUAGUUGGUGAGGUAAUGGCUCACCAAGGCAACGAUGCGUAGCCGACCUGAGAGGGUGAUCGGCCACACUGGGACUGAGACACGGCCCAGACUCCUACGGGAGGCAGCAGUAGGGAAUCUUCCGCAAUGGACGAAAGUCUGACGGAGCAACGCCGCGUGAGUGAUGAAGGUUUUCGGAUCGUAAAGCUCUGUUGUUAGGGAAGAACAAGUACCGUUCGAAUAGGGCGGUACCUUGACGGUACCUAACCAGAAAGCCACGGCUAACUACGUGCCAGCAGCCGCGGUAAUACGUAGGUGGCAAGCGUUGUCCGGAAUUAUUGGGCGUAAAGGGCUCGCAGGCGGUUCCUUAAGUCUGAUGUGAAAGCCCCCGGCUCAACCGGGGAGGGUCAUUGGAAACUGGGGGAACUUGAGUGCAG
rnacentral:rRNA from 1 species